GCAAUAGAACAAUGACUAAGACAG
rnacentral:piRNA from 1 species